rnacentral:rRNA from 1 species
ACGCCAGUGCGAUAAGGGGAUCCCAAGUGCGUAGGCAUAGAGCUACGCUUUUGUCCACCCUAGGGUGGUGGACGAAUAAGGGCUGGGCAAGACCGGUGCCAGCCGCCGCGGUAAUACCGGCAGCCCGAGUGAUGGCCGAUCUUAUUGGGCCUAAAGCGUCCGUAGCUGGCCGCACAAGUCCAUCGGGAAAUCCACCUGCUCAACAGGUGGGCGUCCGGUGGAAACUGUGUGGCUUGGGACCGGAAGGCGCGACGGGUACGUCCGGGGUAGGAGUGAAAUCCCGUAAUCCUGGACGGACCGCCGAUGGCGAAAGCACGUCGCGAAAACGGAUCCGACAGUGAGGGACGAAAGCUAGGGUCUCGAACCGGAUUAGAUACCCGGGUAGUCCUAGCCGUAAACACUGCCUGCUAGGUGUGGCACCCACUACGAGUGGGUGCUGUGCCGUAGGGAAGCCGCUAAGCAGGCCGCC